ensembl:lncRNA
CCUUACUGUUAGAGGGGUAGAGAAUAGGAAGUGUCCUUACUGUUAGAGGGGUAGAGAAUAGGAGGUAUCCUUACUGUUAGAGAGGUAGAGAAUAGGAGGUAUCCUUAAUGAAGGACCUACUGUUAGAGAGGUAGAGAAUAGGAGGUAUCCUUAAUGAAGGACCUACUGUUAGAGAGGUAGAGAAUAGGAGGUAUCCUUAAUGAAGGACCUACUGUUAGAGAGGUAGAGAAUAGGAGUUAUCCUUAAUGAAGGACCUACUGUUAGAGAACUACUUCCCAGCUACAAACACAAACAUGGAUAUUAUUCAGCAGAAGAGACUCAUAUUUUCUUCCUCAAGUGUGCUCUUCCUUCACUCCCCCAUGUUUCUUACUCCUGUCCAUGGUGUGGAGUCAACAAGUACACACUUCUAAGGUAGAGAAUUGGGACUCAUCAAAAGGCCUUCUAUAAGAUCCUGGAUCAACCUAACCCUUUGGUCUG